CUUAAAUGCAAGUCGACGGCAGCACGGGUGCUUGCACCUGGUGGCGAGUGGCGAACGGGUGAGUAAUACAUCGGAACAUGUCCUGUAGUGGGGGAUAGCCCGGCGAAAGCCGGAUUAAUACCGCAUACGAUCUACGGAUGAAAGCGGGGGACCUUCGGGCCUCGCGCUAUAGGGUUGGCCGAUGGCUGAUUAGCUAGUUGGUGGGGUAAAGGCCUACCAAGGCGACGAUCAGUAGCUGGUCUGAGAGGACGACCAGCCACACUGGGACUGAGACACGGCCCAGACUCCUACGGGAGGCAGCAGUGGGGAAUUUUGGACAAUGGGCGAAAGCCUGAUCCAGCAAUGCCGCGUGUGUGAAGAAGGCCUUCGGGUUGUAAAGCACUUUUGUCCGGAAAGAAAUCCUUGGCUCUAAUACAGUCGGGGGAUGACGGUACCGGAAGAAUAAGCACCGGCUAACUACGUGCCAGCAGCCGCGGUAAUACGUAGGGUGCGAGCGUUAAUCGGAAUUACUGGGCGUAAAGCGUGCGCAGGCGGUUUGCUAAGACCGAUGUGAAAUCCCCGGGCUCAACCUGGGAACUGCAUUGGUGACUGGCAGGCUAGAGUAUGGCAGAGGGGGGUAGAAUUCCACGUGUAGCAGUGAAAUGCGUAGAGAUGUGGAGGAAUACCGAUGGCGAAGGCAGCCCCCCUGGGCCAAUACUGACGCUCAUGCACGAAAAGCGUGGGGAGCAAACAGGAUUAUAUACCCUGGUAGUCCACGCCCUAAACGAUGUCAACUAGUUGUUG
rnacentral:rRNA from 1 species